GUGACAUCAUAGGUGUUUACGUUUCUCAACAAUCCAGAAACGUAGAACUUUUUCUUUGAAAGAGAGAAGUUUACAUGGAGUGUUAUACAGGAAAUUCAGUGCCCAUCACUAUGAAUAAGAUACUUGCGCCGGAAUUUAUCCCCAGGAGUUUGAGAAAGUUCAGGUCAUGGCAAUGGGAAUGUUAGUUUUGGUCUGACUCACAAGGAAACAGUGUUCGAGUCUCACAUCACCAUCGGAGUAUUGCCAGUUGGGACUGUCGAUUACAUCUGUCUACUCGAUACAACUUGAAAUGUUGUAUGUCCAAGAAGUUUGUGGUGCUGACAACAAAGCCGAGGUUAUUCUAUUGGUCGAACUGGAAAGGAAGAUGCGCUUGAGUUCCAAGUUAUCGCAAGAGCCAUUCUGAAAUCUAUGAUGUGAAGCCCUGUAUGCUGUGUUGAAGCUGGCUGUUGUUGGAAGUACCUCUUUGACUUAGUUAAUUGAAGAUUCAUGAUUUAAAUCGAUAAAAAGACUGACAUCAGCAUAUCUCUGAAUGAAGUCAAGCAUCAGUCAAAAAUUGUAGAAUCUUUUAGUUUUUUAUUUUAAAAAUAAGUAUCUUAACUAAUUCUGUAUCAUGUACUUCAUAUUUGUUUUAAAUACGUGAUAAUACAUGCCAGCUCCAUACUUGAUUGAAAUUAUUUAUAACAUUCCCGACAAGCCUGUGGCGU